rnacentral:rRNA from 1 species
CUACGUGCCAGCAGCCGCGGUAAUACGUAGGGCGCGAGCGUUGUCCGGAAUUAUUGGGCGUAAAGAGCUUGUAGGCGGUUGGUCGCGUCUGCUGUGAAAGGCCGGGGCUUAACUCCGGUUUUGCAGUGGGUACGGGCUAACUAGAGUGCAGUAGGGGAGACUGGAAUUCCUGGUGUAGCGGUGGAAUGCACAGAUAUCAGGAGGAACACCGAUGGCGAAGGCAGGUCUCUGGGCUGUAACUGACGCUGAGAAGCGAAAGCAUGGGGAGCGAACAGGAUUAGAUACCCUGGUAGUCCAUGCCGUAAACGUUGGGCACUAGGUGUGGGGGACAUUCCACGUUUUCCGCGCCGUAGCUAACGCAUUAAGUGCCCCGCCUGGGGAGUACGGCCGCAAGGCUAAAACUCAAAGGAAUUGACGGGGGCCCGCACAAGCGGUGGAGUAUGUGGUUUAAUUCGACGCAACGCGAAGAMCCUUACCAGGUCUUGACAU